AAUUUCCUACUAUGACAUGUGUGUUGGACAGUGUAGGGCAUAGCAAUGAUUAGUGAUUUUCAGCAGCCUUUCUUGAAUAGGCAUUGAAAAUAGCUAAACAAAAAAAGAGAAAUGAGCUGAAUUCUUGGAGUUAAUAUUUUGGAGUGAAUUAUAAAACAGAGUUCUUGCAAUAAUGCAUGUAAAUUAAAAAUAGGUUAGCAAAGCAUGAGUAAAAAUAGUCAAUUUUCAAAUACUUUUCACAGCUCUCCGAGUCUGACAUAUUUCUCUGGCUAAAAGGGAAGAAACAUAUCGGCACUCAUGUUGGGAAGACCUUAGAACAGCAAAGUACUAAAACUUGCCAAACCAACUUCAAGUGGCUUUCUUGUUAGUGCAAUACACACUGCACUGAGUUCCUGAGCAUAAUAUUUCCACCCUUUCCCACGGAGUCUGCUUAAAUUUGAAGAUUUUUUUUCUAGUAGGUGUAUUGUCCUUAAUUUUGGAGGAAGUUUUAAAAAGGUGGAUUAAUGUUAUAUAUGCUUCCGAGAAUAUUAUGCAACCAUGAAGCUUUGCACUUCAACAUAAAUGAAUCCCAAAAAGAGCCAGAUGAACUGUUGGCUGGGAGGCAGAGCCUUAGGAUGUUUCAAAUUCAUCGUGACUUCACAUAAAGGUCCUCUCUGGAGUAUGAAAGUCAAUUUUACAGGUGUAAAAUAAAGGAAAAGACGACAGUCUGAAAGUCAAACGAAAUUCCAGGACCACCUGUAUUUCAGUGAGCAGGAACUGUACUAGGAGAAGGAGCCAGAAAGGUGGUGACAUACUUUUCCUUUCGUGGGGAAACAGUCUAAUGGAGAGAAGGACAAGUAAGAAACCACAAAGUGUAUUUUGGUUGCCUCUCAUAUCUCUUCAUCAUAUAUACCUCUUCAAAUUCAAUCGAGAUUUCAAUUCGUCUCACUUCUCCCCAACCUUACUCUGAUCUCCUGGUAAUUUUAGAGUAAUUGAGAAUAUUUUCUAACAUACGUGUCAACAUAAUGAAGGAGCUGGGACCUAAGUGAAGAAGCGACAAAAUUUACAGUGGCUUUGAAUGCUGGUUCCUGAAUGGAUUUGCUUGACUGCAAUUCAAUCUUUUUUGUGGCUCAAGGCUCACUCACCUCUAAAAGGCACUUUGUUUGUCAGAAUCGAUUUAAAUCAAUUUCUGUGGAAAUUAAAAUUAAAUAUGGUAUCCCUAAGAUUCUUGCAUUUAUUUCAAUUUUUAAAUUAUUGAUUUAUACAUGAUUUUUAUGCCCCAUCAUUAUAUGAACAUUUAUAUAAUUAGUG
rnacentral:lncRNA from 1 species